rnacentral:rRNA from 1 species
CGGGUGAGUAACACGUGGAUAACCUACCUAUAAGACUGGGAUAACUUCGGGAAACCGGAGCUAAUACCGGAUAAUAUUUUGAACCGCAUGGUUCAAAAGUGAAAGACGGUCUUGCUGUCACUUAUAGAUGGAUCCGCGCUGCAUUAGCUAGUUGGUAAGGUAACGGCUUACCAAGGCAACGAUGCAUAGCCGACCUGAGAGGGUGAUCGGCCACACUGGAACUGAGACACGGUCCAGACUCCUACGGGAGGCAGCAGUC